UGGGGAAUAUUGGACAAUGGGGGCAACCCUGAUCCAGCCAUGCCGCGUGAGUGAUGAAGGCCUUAGGGUUGUAAAGCUCUUUCACCGGGGAAGAUAAUGACGGUACCCGGAGAAGAAGCCCCGGCUAACUUCGUGCCAGCAGCCGCGGUAAUACGAAGGGGGCUAGCGUUGUUCGGAAUUACUGGGCGUAAAGCGCACGUAGGCGGACAUUUAAGUCAGGGGUGAAAUCCCGAGGCUCAACCUCGGAACUGCCUUUGAUACUGGAGAUCUCGAGUUCGGGAGAGGUGAGUGGAACUGCGAGUGUAGAGGUGAAAUUCGUAGAGAUCGGGAGGAAUAUCAGUGGCGAAGGCGCCCAUCUGGACGGUAACUGACGCUGAGACGCGAAAGCGUGGGGAGCAAACA
rnacentral:rRNA from 1 species